ACUCCUACGGGAGGCAGCAGUGGGGAAUAUUGGACAAUGGGGGAAACCCUGAUCCAGCAAUGCCGCGUGUGUGAAGAAGGUCUUCGGAUUGUAAAGCACUUUAAGUUGGGGGGAAGGGCAGUAAGUUAAUACCUUGCUGUUUUGACGUUACCAACAGAAUAAGCACCGGCUAACUUCGUGCCAGCAGCCGCGGUAAU
rnacentral:rRNA from 1 species